UGCAAGUCGACGAGACCUUCGGGUCUAGUGGCGCACGGGUGCGUAACGCGUGGGAACCUGCCUUUAGGUUCGGAAUAACUCAGAGAAAUUUGAGCUAAUACCGGAUAAUGUCUUCGGACCAAAGAUUUAUCGCCUUUAGAUGGGCCCGCGUUGGAUUAGCUAGUUGGUGGGGUAAAGGCCUACCAAGGCGACGAUCCAUAGCUGGUCUGAGAGGAUGAUCAGCCACACUGGGACUGAGACACGGCCCAGACUCCUACGGGAGGCAGCAGUGGGGAAUAUUGGACAAUGGGCGAAAGCCUGAUCCAGCAAUGCCGCGUGAGUGAUGAAGGCCUUAGGGUUGUAAAGCUCUUUUACCCGAGAUGAUAAUGACAGUAUCGGGAGAAUAAGCUCCGGCUAACUCCGUGCCAGCAGCCGCGGUAAUACGGAGGGAGCUAGCGUUGUUCGGAAUUACUGGGCGUAAAGCGCACGUAGGCGGCUUUUUAAGUCAGGGGUGAAAUCCCGGGGCUCAACCCCGGAACUGCCCUUGAAACUGGGGAGCUAGAAUCUUGGAGAGGCGAGUGGAAUUCCGAGUGUAGAGGUGAAAUUCGUAGAUAUUCGGAAGAACACCAGUGGCGAAGGCGACUCGCUGGACAAGUAUUGACGCUGAGGU
rnacentral:rRNA from 2 species